UCAAGCGGAGGUUUCUUCUCAACGUUCUUUGAUCCGGCAGGAGGGGGGGAAUGGAUGUGGCGGCCUCCAGUGGAGCGAAUCAGGUUGGGGAGCCGGGAUCAGGCACGCGCCGAACUCCGGCCUGAAGUCAGAGACACAAAUACUUGUUUCUCUCUCUUUUCGUCAGCUUUGCUGCGCCUCCUAUUCACCGGCACUGUCAGACGCGGAAAACACACAGCCGAGGGUAUUCUUCUUUUUUUAUAUUGUGUUUUGCGAAUCUCUUCUCCUUUACUUCGCUAUUUGCCAGCGGUUGAAACAAGCAACAACAAUAAAAAAAAAACCUACUGAAGCUUCUCAGUUCAGUUUACCUUUGAAAUAUUUUUGAAAGUGUGGAACAAGGCAGGCGGUCGAAGGAAAAGUUGCCAAGCGGACAGCUACCAGCACCAAGUGGUCAGACGUCUGUCAGGGACGGCAACGCCAGGAGAUGCUGUGCAGUUAGCCGAGUGAAAGAGAUGCGACUGUUGAGACCCUGCAGUGCACAAGUUAUCCUCGCACGGCACGCGCGUGUUCGCCGGCCUUGAGAGCGCGCACGUGCACACAGUGGCCACGACUCCGCUGUCAGCUCAACGCUAUGGCCACCUCCAUCUUCUUCCCUCUUUUGAGUGUGUGUGUGUGCAGGCAAGCGCGUGCGUGCGCCCGUGUGUAUGAGAGAGAAAGAGAGACGGACAGACGAGAGACGAUUGGAGGCGGCGGUUGCCGUUAGGACACAUGCAAAUGUAGUGGUGGGGAUGGGAGAGGAUCGAGGAGAAUGCGGUGAAAAUGCAAGAGGGGAUCAAUGAGAUGUUAUCACCCCCACCCCCUACAAAUGCUUCCCUCGCUACUACCAUCAUCCCCACGUUUCUUCUCUCCUCAGACAGCCGAGGAUGUUGGAGGGAUGCAGUGCUGUACCGCUAGCUUUCGCCGCAGCGUCCUUGGCGUGGCGGACGGCGUGAUGCGAGAGAAGGCGACACGCGUGCGGCUGAGACUGAGCAGCCUUCACUCCUAAUAGCGGGCUGAGGCGCUGGUGCAGAACAUACUCCUCACAGUCCAGGAGAAAGGUGAAGGCCAUCCCGCCAAUCUGCACACAAGAGAAAGUGCAACUUCACAUGCAUGGCUUUAAAGGUCUCAAAAAUGGAAGUGAGAUAUUCAACCAGAUCUGGGGAAACAAUAUUUUGCAUCGAACUCUGUCCAGUCAUUAGAAAAAUACUUUUGCACCAUGUUUGACUUUAACAAAGAAUAUCGCUUCCUAUGUCGUAGUUGCCUUAACACAUUGCACCUGGGGUGUGUAGUGUUUAACACUGAGAGCUAUAGAAUCAGCAGGUAUUGACCAAAGAUUGCAUGAUGACUAGUUAAUUUGCCAGAAUCUGUAUCUUAUUUGGAGGAGCUAAUUCUCAGAUACAUGCUUUGAGUUGUGAGCCUAUAAAGGCUUUUUUGUUUUUAGAUACAUAUCUGAAGCUGAGAGCCUAUGAAUGGCUCUGUGUUGAACUGUGAGCCUAUGAAGACACAACCACCUUGACAUGACUUGACAUCCUUCAGUUGCAGUGUUUUUGUGACAGACAUCUUUGAUUGGUUUUUCAUCUUUUUUUACUGUGAAUAAAAUUUGUUAAUAACUAUA
rnacentral:lncRNA from 1 species